GUCUGAUCUGAUUUCAGGACGUUUCUUUCUCUAACGCAUAAACUCUGCAGUCACAUCGCUCGCUCGGGUCUGGCCAACUGAACAAAUUUCCGAGCCCUGCCUGCUCGCCUGGUGGUUCCCCGCCCACCGCUGCUCUCUGCUGCCUGCCUGCCUCUCUGCUGGGCGGACUGGGGCAGAUCCGAGCCGACCAGUUCCGUGUUUCUCUGCUCACCCAGUUUACGGAGCAGACCGUACCGGAGGACCGGACAGCGUCACGGUGGACAUUCCUGUCCAGCAGCGGCAUCCGUAACUCCGGGGACGACAGGAAAGUGAGCGCGGAGGUGAGUAAUGUCUUAUUGCUGCUCAUUAUUUGUGCGCGGACGGAGAAUCCAUCAGCCGCCGUCGGUCGCGUUACGUUUCAGCCAAACUUUGACGCUACUGGCUGUCCCUCCCUCCCCCUUCUCUCCCCUGCUCCCCCCUGCUCCCUCCCUCCCCA
ensembl:lncRNA